rnacentral:rRNA from 1 species
ACUAGGAGUUUGCGAUACAAUGUAAGCUCUACAGCGAAAGCGUUAAGUAAUCCACCUGGGGAGUACGCCGGCAACGGUGAAACUCAAAGGAAUUGACGGGGGCCCGCACAAGCGGAGGAACAUGUGGUUUAAUUCGAUGAUACGCGAGGAACCUUACCCGGGUUUGAACGUAGUCUGACCGGAGUGGAAACACUCCUUCUAGCAAUAGCAGAUUACGAGGUGCUGCAUGGUUGUCGUCAGCUCGUGCCGUGAGGUGUCGGCUUAAGUGCCAUAACGAGCGCAACCCUUAUCACUAGUUACUAACAGGUGAAGCUGAGGACUCUGGUGAGACUGCCAGCGUAAGCUGUGAGGAAGGUGGGGAUGACGUCAAAUCAGCACGGCCCUUACAUCCGGGGCGACACACGUGUUACAAUGGCAUGGACAAAGGGCAGCUACCUGGCGACAGGAUGCUAAUCUCCAAACCAUGUCUCAGUUCGGAUCGGAGUCUGCAACUCGACUCCGUGAAGCUGGAUUCGCUAGUAAUCGCGCAUCAGCCAUGGCGCGGUGAAUACGUUCCCGGGCCUUGUACACACCGCCCGUCAAGCCAUGGGAGCCGGGGGUACCUGAAGUCCGUAACCGCAAGGAUCGGCCUAGGGUAAAACUGGUGACUGGGGCUAAGUCGUAACAAGGUAGCCGUACCGGAAGGUGCGGCUG